ensembl:snoRNA
UGGAUCAAAGAUGACCACUGGUAGCGGAUGAGUCAUGGAUGAUGACUACUAUGUGUCUGGAACUGUAAAGUCCAA